AUAGAUGCAGGAAAGAAUAAGAUGGGAUUAAGCUGUUAACUGUACCCCCCACCCUGACAAACAACUGCCUGCAAACACAUUCAGGAAAGAGCCUGAGCUCUGCCUGGAACAAAGGCACCAAAAUUAGCCAACUUGAGAGGAGAAACAAGAUUGGCCCUAGGGUUUCCCUCAAACUGAAGUGGAUUGAGGUGGAAUGUCCCUCAACCCAACUGUGCUAUCUGCACAAUUAUAAUUUUACACAACCAAGUUUUGGAAGACCUAGAGAAGCAUUCUUAAUAGACAAAAGAGGAAAUCAACCAACUGUCUACAACUGAUGAGGACACAAUAAAAGAAUGAUACUAUUUGGCAAUAAAAGAAUGAUGUAUUAGAACAUACUACAUCAUGGAUUUUCACUCCUGGGGAAAAGCUGUGGUAGAGUCACGAACCUCUUCUGAAGCACUGUGGCAACUUGUGUCCAGCUGCCAUGAUCAUUCCAGGAAGCUGUCUGGUGUGAUGACCUGCUCUCUGUACAAUUUAUGAGCACCUAUUGAGGCCAAAGAAGAAGAAACUCGGUUGAAAAAUUCUGUUUACAACUAUCAGUGUCUUAUUUCUCUUUUAACCUCCAACUGACCUUCAGAAAACAAUUGUAGCUUUUUUGUCUACUUUUGUUUUUCUAUCAUAUACUGUUUCAAAAACAUUCUUGUUUAAUACCUGCUAUAAGUAUUUAUUUUUCCCUACAUGUUACACUGAAUUCCUGUGACUAAACCUAUUUGAUUUUAAG